CUCUCACACACACAUAUGCACAGACGCACACACAUGCACACAUACAUACACACACACAAUCAAACACAGAAUCUCUCAGAUAGAGACACACGCACGCACAAUCAAAAUCUCUCUCUCUCUCACACACACACACACACACAAUCUCUCAGACACACACACUCACUCUUUCCCUCUCACACACACACACACACACACACACACACACACACACGUCGAUGGCCCUCUUUAAGACUUUACAUUUUCAUCUAAGAUUUCCUACUUUCCUCUAAUUGGUGUAAGACAGAAGCACUGUGCUUUAAGCCAUGGCAGCUAUUAAAAGGCAAACUGCCACAAAAUGUGCCUCUUAAUUGGCAGAAGAGCGCCUUAAUGAGAACAUAACGUUUGCACUGCUGGAUUAUUUAGCCAGGAGGAGGUGAUCCGGGGGCCUAAUCAAUGAUUAAUAUCACGUAGUUCAACUCCAAAUAGGGAAGGAGCGUUUAACAUUCCCCUCGAGUCUGCCCUGGCCCUGGAGGGGGGCAGGUUGUGCCACAUAUCAAAGGCAGUCAACAGAGUGCCUGUGUGUGUAGGAGGGGGGGGAGGGAGAGGGAGAGGAGGGAGUGAGGGAGGGAGGGAGGAAGAGAGUCAGGGACCCCGGAAAAAAAAGAGAACGGAGCUAAUUCUAAUUCCGUGGCCUGUGUUUGAAUUCGAGCAUGCAGCACUAUACUCCUUCCUCUGUGUCUGCCUGUAGGGCGGCGAUCACCGGUCUGUUGUCAUGGGGGGGGGGGGGGGGGGGGGUGCAGACAGCGGCUGGUGGCUGGCUAGGACACCACCACCUCGGCCCCGCUGUUCAAUGUAGGUCACUUUGGUGGGUGUUUUCCAGCUGGUUGGAGACGGCUGGAUCCUUAUGUCCCUGGCCAUAUACAUCCCAGCAGAGCCGCUUAAUCCAGGGGAUUACAGGCAGGGGCGUCCGUCCUAUCAUAAUGGGCCAUCUUCAGUGUUUUUUUGGGGAAUUGCUGGGUCAAUGUAUGGAGGUGACCAUAGCCUACGUAUCUUCCUUUGUCUCUUUUUGCCAACACCACUAUCCAUGGACUACAUUGACGGUUCAAGUGAUGCAAUAUUUGACAUAAAUUGACACACACACACACACACACACAUUAUAUAUAGUAUAUAUAUUGUAGUAUUUGCUCACACAGAAAUUGUGUGUCUCAACGUAUGCGUUGUGUAACUAUCUGUUGUUUCAAUCCGCUGUAACAACAGGGGCGGAGGCUGGUGAGUCUAAUUGCGGCGUAUUGACAUGUGACUGCAGAGUGGAAACUGGGCUUUAUCCAGGAACCCGCUGUCCCUACAAUCAGAGCCCAAAACAGGAGGGCUUGACGUUGUUGAGUCUAGCAUUACAGUAGUAUAAAUACACCUUUAUUUUAACGUAAGCUUCUGUGUGGAAAUAACCCACCGCCCGUUAUGUGCGUAGGCGGGUGUGCGUUUUUUCAUCUGUGUGCGUUUGUGUUUAUGCGUCUGUGUGCAGGUGUGUGCGAUUAUCCAUCUGUGUGUAUGUGUGUGCGUCCCUGCGUCUGUGUGUAGGCGCACGCAUGUGUGUGUGUGUGUGUGUGUGUGUGUGUGUGUGUGUGUGUGUGUGUGUGUGUGUGUGUGUGUGUGUGUGUGUGUGUGUGUGUGUGUGUGUGUGUGUGUGUUCAUGCGUCUGUGUGCAGGACUGUGUGCGUGUGUGUGUGUGUUUAUCUCCUUGAUUUGAAACAGCUCCCGUUCAGCUGUAAUUACCCGAGCCUCCUUAAACACCACAGCCCUCCACCCUCUCAUCGCUCCGUCCCCGCCUGUGCACAUGCAACCCUCCUCCUCCUCUCCCCUCUGAAAGACAACGGCGCACUUGAGAGAUGGGGCCAGGGGAGGACUGUGGCUGGAAGUUAUUGCGUGGCACACGGACGACGUGUUAUGUCUGCGUCCGCCGCCGCCGCCGCCGCCGCGCGCGACUGCGGCGCACCUGUGUCUAUUUGCGGGUUCCUUCGGUAAACACCAGCUGAUUGGCCGGAGCUGGAGGUGGUGACCGGAGGCUCUGACACACACCUGACGGGAACACCUGACCUCAGGCGGGAUGUUGUUCACGGCGGAGGACCACGAGACGUCCCGCGGGAAAGGGGCGGGGGGGGGGGGCGUGGUCUCACAGCUUUCACAGCAUCACCCUCAUAUAGCAUCACUGGGCUUCUUUGUUAUUUGUUAUUCUUGGUGGGUGAUGAUAGUGUGGCCUUCUAUGCACGCCGCUUUUGUGUAUAAUUAAAUAAUGAAAGGGGGAGAGAGGGGGCGUGGGGGGAGAGAGGGACAAAGGUAGCCUGACUCAACACACCUGGGCGAGCUUUGAUCGAGACCUUGAGAGAAGGCUUCCCUCUGAAGAGCUGAGGGCGCCCUGUAUCAGGUGAACUGAAGAAUGUGGCUCCCUUCUAGGUGGCCCCCUAGACACGCCCCUGUUUCAGGACAGGUGUGCUUUCAGCUGUGUGUGUGUGUGUGUGUGUGUGUGUGUGUGUGUGUGUGUGUGUGUGUGUGUGUGUGUGUGUGUGUGUGUGUGUGUGUCUUUCUAUUGCUUUCUGUGUAUGUGUGCACACGUGUGAUUGCAUAUGUGUGCGUUUGCGUGUGAUUGCGUCUCACACACACACACACACACACACACACACACACACACACACACACACACACACACACACACACACACACACACACACACACACACACACACACACACACACACACACACACACACACACACACACACACACACACACACA